rnacentral:rRNA from 1 species
UACGUAGGGUGCGAGCGUUGUCCGGAAUUAUUGGGCGUAAAGGGCGCGUAGGCGGCCUGGCAAGUGGAAGGUGAAAUCCCUCGGCUUAACCGAGGAACUGCCCUCCAAACUGCUUGGCUUGAGUCCGGGAGAGGUGAGUGGAAUUCCCAGUGUAGCGGUGAAAUGCGUAGAUAUUGGGAGGAACACCAGUGGCGAAGGCGGCUCACUGGACCGGAACUGACGCUGAUGCGCGAAAGCGUGGGGAGCAAACGGG